rnacentral:antisense_RNA from 1 species
CUUGACCGAGCCCAGCCACACGGGGUCCGCCGGGUCGCGGUCCUGGCCGUAGGUGGCCAGCAGGGCGCCCGCCUC